AUGUCGGGAGACUGCAAGAUCCACAUGGCAGCCAUGGCUAUCGACUGCAACAUCAUUUCAUUCAAGGAAUUACCGUUCAAUCACAGAUUAUACUGCACAGUUUUUGUACGGCGACUCAAUCACUUUGUAUCACUGUGGUACACGUUCGGUGGAGGAACCAGACUGGAUGUUGGAAGUGAUACCGCCCCCACCCUGACGGUGCUGCCUCCCUCCAGUGAGCAGCUGCAGCAGGGGAAGGCCACGCUCAUGUGCCUGGCCAACAAGGGCUUCCCCUCAGACUGGAGUCUGGCCUGGAAGGUGGACGGCAGCAGCAGCAGCAGCAGCAGCAGCAUCAGCUGGGAGGAGAGCAGCAGCCCCGGGGUGCUGGGGAAGGACGGCCUCUACAGCUGGAGCAGCACCCUGAGGCUCCCUGCAGACCAGUGGAGGAAGGUGGGCUCUGUGACCUGUGAGGCCACCCAGGGCUCCCAGACUCCGCGCUCAGAGACACUGAGGAGAGACCAGUGUUCCCAGUCCUGACCUGACUCACUGGGACUCUGAUACUGGUUUUCCUCUGCUCCUGCUCUCACUCUGCACUCUCUAACUAUCUCUCUCUUUCAGCUGACGUGUUUCAAUAAGAAGAUUUACCAGCUUGUUGCAGUGUUUCAAUAUUAUUUCAGUGUUUCCACAUAAUAAAGACGUGUUCAUCAAAUCA